rnacentral:sRNA from 12 species
UCUGGAUAAACUUGUAUUCUCCCAAGAGAGAGGAACAAGUCACUUUACGGAAUUAAAUAAGCAACACAUUUAAGGAUUGCCAAAGACUUACAUAUAAGCGAAAUCCUUGAAUGACUAGGAUAACCGUAUGUCCUUUGACAUAUUAUGUCAUAAAAGUAAUCUUGAACAGCUUUGAUUAAGUUUUCAAGUUACGAUUGA